rnacentral:rRNA from 1 species
UACGGGGGGGGCAAGCGUUGUUCGGAAUUACUGGGCGUAAAGGGCUCGUAGGCGGCCAACUAAGCCGGACGUGAAAUCCCCAGGCUCAACCUGGGAACUGCGUCUGAUACUGGAUGGCUUGAAUCCGGGAGAGGGAUGCAGAAUUCCAGGUGUAGCGGUGAAAUGCGUAGAUAUCUGGAGGAAUACCGGUGGCGAAGGCGGCAUCCUGGACCGGCAUUGACGCUGAGGAGCGAAAGCCAGGGGAGCAAACGGG